rnacentral:misc_RNA from 1 species
GAAAUGCGAUAAGUAGUGUGAAUUGCAGAAUUCAGUGAAUCAUCGAAUCUUUGAACGCACAUUGCGCCCUUUGGUAUUCCUUAGGGCAUGCCUGUUCGAGCGUCAUCUAAACCUUCAAGCCCUGCUUGGUGUUGGGUGCCUGUCCCGCCUCCGCGCGCGGACUCACCUCAAAUCCAUUGGCGGCCCCCGCGUCGGCCACGAGCGCAGCAGAAACGCGAACUCGUGAGCCCGUCCGGGCGGCUCCCAGAAGCUACACCCACCCAGUUUGACCUCGGAUCAGGUAGGGAUACCCGCUGAACUUAGGC